rnacentral:rRNA from 1 species
UACGUAGGGUGCGAGCGUUGUCCGGAAUCACUGGGCUUAAAGGGUGCGUAGGCGGCGCAGAAAGUUGGGUGUGAAAUCCCUCGGCUCAACCGAGGAACUGCGCCCAAAACUACUGUGCUUGAGGGAGAUAGAGGUGAGCGGAACUUAGGGUGGAGCGGUGAAAUGCGUUGAUAUCCUAAGGAACACCGGUGGCGAAAGCGGCUCACUGGAUCUCUUCUGACGCUGAGGCACGAAAGCUAGGGUAGCGAACGGG